rnacentral:rRNA from 1 species
AUAGAUAGUCGGCCUUGAUUGGGAAACAAUAACAUGGUUUAUGUGCUCGUUCUGGGUAAAUAGAGUUUCUAGCAUUUAUGGUAGUUUCUUGUUCCCCGGAUAGUUUAGUUACGUAGCCAAUUGUGGAACUUUNUUGCUAAAAUUUUUAAGAAUUAAUUGGGCAACCAAUUAGUUCUUUUAAAUUAGAACGAUUAUCAAUUAACAAUCAAUUCAGAACUGGCACGGACUUGGGGAAUCCGACUGUCUAAUUAAAACAAAGCAUUGUGAUGGCCCUAGCGGGUGUUGACACAAUGUGAUUUCUGCCCAGUGCUCUGAAUGUCAAAGUGAAGAAAUACAAGUAAGCGCGGGUCAACGGCGGGAGUAACUAUGACUCUCUUAAGGUAGCCAMAUGCCUCGUCAUCUAAUUAGUGACGCGCAUGAAUGGAUUAACGAGAUUCCUACUGUCCCUAUCUACUAUCUAGCGAAACCACAGCCAAGGGAACGGGCUUGGAAUAAUUAGCGGGGAAAGAAGACCCUUUUGAGCUUGACUCUAAUCUGGCAGUGUAAGGAGACAUAAGAGGUGUAGAAUAAGUGGGAGAUAUUACACUUCGGUUUGGUAUCGACAAUGAAAUACCACUACUCUUAUUGUUUCCUUACUUACUUGAUUAAAUGGAUCGUGUAUCAUCUCCUAGCCAUUAUACGGAUAUAUUUAUUAUAUCUUAUGGUAUUGGGUUUUGAUGCAAGCUUCUUGAUCAAAGUAUCACGAGUUUGUUAUAUAAUCGCAAACAAAUUCAUUAAUGAUAAAGUGCAUUUAUGUAUUUUUGAUUUAAAAAUUUGGUAUAACUCCAAUUACUCAGGUAUGGCCCAAUUCAAGGACAUUGCCAGGUAUGGAGUUUGACUGGGGCGGUACAUCUCUCAAAUAAUAACGGAGGUGUCCCAAGGCCAGCUCAGUGCGGACAGAAACCACACAUAGAGCAAAAGGGCAAAUGCUGACUUGAUCUCGGUGUUCAGUACACACAGGGACAGCAAAAGCUCGGCCUAUCGAUCCUUUUGGUUUAAAGAGUUUUUAACAAGAGGUGUCAGAAAAGUUACCAUAGGGAUAACUGGCUUGUGGCGGCCAAGCGUUCAUAGCGACGUCGCUUUUUGAUCCUUCGAUGUCGGCUCUUCCCAUCAUUGUGAAGCAAAAUUCACCAAGCGUUGGAUUGUUCACCCAUGCAAGGGAACGUGAGCUGGGUUUAGACCGUCGUGAGACAGGUUAGUUUUACCCUACUAAUGACAAAACGUUGUUGCGACAGCAUUCCUGCGUAGUACGAGAGGAACCGCAGGUACGGACCAAUGGCACAAUACUUGUUCGAGCGAACAGUGGUAUGACGCUACGUCCGUUGGAUUAUGCCUGAACGCCUCUAAGGUCGUAUCCGUGCUGGACUGCAAUGAUAAAUAAGGGGCAAUUUGCAUUGUAUGGCUUCUAAACCAUUAAAAGUUUGUAAUUUAUUUUAUAAACGACAAUGGAUGUGAUGCCAAUGUUAUUUGUAACAUAGUAAAUUGGGAGGAUCUACGAUCACCUGAUGCCGCGCUAGUUACAUAUUAAAACAUUAUUUAAUACAAUGACAAAGCCUAGAAUCAAUUGUAAACGACUUUUGUAACAGGCAAGGUGUUGUAAGUGGUUGAGCAGCUGCCAUACUGCGAUCCACUGAAGCUUAUCCUUUGCUUGAUGAUUCGA